GGGUGAAUCCCGGGUAGAACAGAGCAAGAACUGGCUUGAGGAAGACGACCCACCUCGUCAGUCUCGUGUUUCUCUUAGCUCCGAAGCCUCACCCCGGAGGCCACGGACACGCAGCCAGCUCUUUCCUUCCUGACCUUCCCCGCGCGCCCCGCUCCUGGAGGGAGGCGGUGCCGGCGGCGCGCGCACGUGGAGGCAGAGCGGCGCGGCCGGGCGGGCAGGCGGGUGGAGCCGGCGCCCGGGCCCCGCGCCCCCGGAGCUCGGCGGGCGCUUUGUGCGCGGGAGCUGAAUGGAGCUGGUACGUGUGCGCGCGGGCUUGCACGGAUUAGUCGUGCUUUCCCAUGAACUACAAAAGAACGCCCGAAUCUGGGACAUUUGUCAUCAAGGGGCAGGCUGCUCAGGAUGCAAGAACAAAGGCCAAAAAGCUGCCAUUUCCUUCUGCUGUGGGUUGAACCGUGUCCUCCAAGAAGAUGCGUUCCAGUCCUAACCUCCACGCCACCUGUGAGUGUGACCUUCUUUAGAAAUUGGGCCUUUGCUGAUGUAAUCACGCUCAGGUGAGGUCAUACUAGAUGAGAGUAGCCCCUCAUCGAGUGAUGGGUUUCAUAAGAAGAGGGAAAUUUGGACAUAGAUACAGACACACAAGGAGACUGUCAUGUGACAAUGGAGACGGAGAUUGGUGGGAUGCUGCCACAAGAUGAGGAAUGCCAAGGAUUUCUGGCAACCACCAGAAGCUGGAAGGCAAGGAAGAGUCCUGUCUGAGAGCUCACUGAGGGAGCGGGGCCCUGCAGACACCUUAAAUUGGGACUGCAUGCCCCCAGCGUGGCGAGAGAAUACAUUUCCAUUGUUUUGGCCCCCUGGUUUGUGGCAGCCCUAGGCAACUACCACAGGGGAACUACCUUCCCCUGAACUUGCACCUGGAGCCUGGGUCUCUAAUACGAUGUUUGCCUUCUGAGGGUUUAUGGAUACCCAUGCUUAUUUCUGAGAUAGGCAAGUUGGAUCAUGUAGAUGACUUCUUACCUCAUGGGAUGCACAGAAUUCCAGAGAAAUGUCAGCAGCCAAAAGCCAAAGUCUCAGU
rnacentral:lncRNA from 1 species